UGAAGAGCAUCGAAUCCGAGUCAGGAGU
rnacentral:piRNA from 1 species